UACGUAGGGUGCAAGCGUUGUCCGGAAUUAUUGGGCGUAAAGAGCUCGUAGGCGGUUUGUCGCGUCGGCUGUGAAAACCCGGGGCUCAACCCCGGGCCUGCAGUCGAUACGGGCAAACUAGAGUGCGGUAGGGGAGACUGGAAUUCCUGGUGUAGCGGUGAAAUGCGCAGAUAUCAGGAGGAACACCGGUGGCGAAGGCGGGUCUCUGGGCCAAUAUUGACGCUGAGGUGCGAAAGCGUGGGGAGCAAACAGG
rnacentral:rRNA from 1 species